rnacentral:rRNA from 1 species
GAUGAACGCUGGCGGCGUGCUUAACACAUGCAAGUCGAACGGAAAGGCUCCUGCUUGCAGGGGUACUCGAGUGGCGAACGGGUGAGUAACACGUGGGUGAUCUGCCCUGCACUUCGGGAUAAGCCUGGGAAACUGGGUCUAAUACCGGAUAGGACGAUGGUUUGGAUGACAUUGUGGAAAGUUUUUCGGUGUGGGAUGAGCUCGCGGCCUAUCAGCUUGUUGGUGGGGUAAUGGCCUACCAAGGCGUCGACGGGUAGCCGGCCUGAGAGGGUGUACGGCCACAGUGGGACUGAGAUACGACCCGGACUCAUACGGAAGGUAGCAGUGGGGAAGAUUGCACAAAGGGCGCAAGCCUGAUGCAGCGACGCCGCGUGGGGGAUGACGGCCUUCGGGUUGUAAACUCCUUUCGCUAGGGACGAAGCGCAAGUGACGGUACCUGGAGGAGAAGCACCGGCUAACUACGUG